rnacentral:precursor_RNA from 14 species
GACCUAAGCAGUUUUUGCAUUUCAAUGAUGUAUUUCAGGCGUUAUACUGGUGAUGUGACUGUUAAAUUCCGAUCACCAGUGUUUCCCUGGAAUAUACCAAGGAAUGCCCUGUCCUACCGUCCAAGA